AUACCUUCUCGGCCUUUUGGCUAAGAUCAAGUGUAGUAUCUGUUCUAAUCAGUGUGAAAACUGAUUACCAUAUUUAAUAUGGUUUUUUUUUCA
rfam:Aphanomyces astaci strain APO3 cont1.3455, whole genome shotgun sequence.